rnacentral:rRNA from 1 species
UAGGGAACCUUCCACAAUGGACGCAAGUCUGAUGGGGCAACGCCGCGUGAGUGAAGAAGGUCUUCGGAUCGUAAAACUCUGUUGUUAGAGAAGAACACGAGUGAGAGUAACUGUUCAUUCGAUGACGGUAUCUAACCAGCAAGUCACGGCUAACUACGUGCCAG